UGAGGAAUAUUGGUCAAUGGGCGGCAGCCUGAACCAGCCAUCCCGCGUGAAGGAAGAAUGCGCUAUGCGUUGUAAACUUCUUUUUCAGGGGGAUAAAAUUCUGUAUGUAUACAGGACUGAAGGUACCCUGAGAAUAAGCAUCGGCUAACUCCGUGCCAGCAGCCGCGGUAAUACAGAGGUGGCGAACGUUGUUCGGAUUUACUGGGCGUAAAGGGUCCGCAGGCGGUUCGGUGUGUCGGAUGUGAAAGCUCACAGCUCAACUGUGGAAUUGCAUUCGAAACUGCCGAACUAGAGUACUGGAGGGGAGAAGGGAACACUUGGUGUAGCGGUGAAAUGCGUAGAUAUCAAGUGGAACACCGGAGGCGAAGGCGCUUCUCUGGACAGAUACUGACGCUCAUGGACGAAAGCUGGGGUAGCGAAAG
rnacentral:rRNA from 1 species